rnacentral:lncRNA from 1 species
GUGGGGCCAUCAGGCUAAAGAGUGGAGGAGAGAGCUGGGGUCCUGGCAAUACCAGCCCCUUUGUCUUGGCCUGCAGCAUCUGUGGCUGGAAACAGAGCUCAGGAGAACUGAAGAUUUCCCAUCUCACCGGAGUCCAAGGAUAGGAUGGAAGAGUUCACCAUAAUGCUCAGGUUUCCCCAGAACACUCUACUCUUCUAUCAAAACCCAGAAAGACGCCAGACGUGAGUGUUGCACUGACACACCACCCGCAAUGCCUUCUCAAGCCUUUGUGGAAGCCGCCCGCAUGAGAAGGAACAGAAUCCCACGCUCUCAUUGCAGUAGGAACCAGACCUCUCUGAAGGCUUAUCCUCCCUCCGAUAUGAAGACCAAGGAACUGGGAUGUUGCCCUUGGAGUGAUCUGCUGCCUGCUUAAACAUUCUGCAUCUGCUGUGAAUGAGAGACUUUUUCAGGACUGUUGGUUAGGAGGCAAAAAGUUCAAAUUGUCUUGCAGAAAUGUGAGCCUUUCAAAUGUUCAGCUCCUUCCUUCUCACUGAAUGAAGUUCAACCUUUAUUAAACAGUGUGACCACGGCAGGGAGCCCUGGAAGGUGAGGAGCGGGGGCUGGGAAAACUGGG